GACGAACGCUGGCGGCGUGCUUAACACAUGCAAGUCGAACGGAAAGGCCCCUUUGGGGGUACUCGAGUGGCGAACGGGUGAGUAACACGUGAGUAACCUGCCCUUGACUUCGGGAUAACUUCAGGAAACUGGGGCUAAUACCGGAUAGGAAUCCUUGCUGCAUGGUGGGGGUUGGAAAGCUUCGGCGGUUUUGGAUGGACUCGCGGCUUAUCAGCUUGUUGGUGGGGUAGUGGCUUACCAAGGCUUUGACGGGUAGCCGGCCUGGGAGGGCGACCGGCCACAUUGGGACUGAGAUACGGCCCAGACUCCUACGGGAGGCAGCAGUGGGGAAUAUUGCACGAUGGGCGGAAGCCUGAUGCAGCAACGCCGCGUGCGGGAUGACGGCCUUCGGGUUGUAAACCGCUUUCAGCAGGGGCGAAGCUUGUGGUGACGGUACCUGCAGAAGAAGCACCGGCUAACUACGUG
rnacentral:rRNA from 1 species